CAAAGCCCAGGUCUGUGUGAGGGAAAAAAGUCCCAAACCCAGAGCUGCAAGAGGAGUCUGGCAUGUAACCACACUCUGGGUGACCCAAGAAGAGUUUUCAAGGUCUAGCCACUCAGAGGACUUACAUCAAAAUAUCCUAGCUUCAUCUGCAAUGUGAUUAUGACAAGAAUUCUAUAUGAAGAAUAGAAUGAUUUCUAUAUGAAGAAUUCAAUAUGAUUUCAUUGCAUCCAAUGUACCGAGGAUAUACUUUGUUCUGAGACAUGUGCACAUACUCGUGAGCAGGCUCUGCCUUGGUGGAUGUCAACGAUUAUUAAUUACAGUAAUUGCUACAGAUUAUAAACUUGGGAAGAGUGUUCCAUCUUUUAAAUAAAUGUGGUGUUUUUGAGCACCCUGGAGCAGAAAGUUGCUGAGGAACAUGCUCCAGUAUCAAGAA